rnacentral:sRNA from 1 species
AGUCUGGUCCAACAGCUGACAGGGGUGGCAGCCAACUGCAGGUGCCCAAGAACUUGGCACUUCUCAGUUCCAUCUAAAGGGGCACAUCUCCCUUCUGGGUGUCACGUUUUCAGCCAAACGUCUAAAAGAACUUCAUCAUCAAGAUGUCUGAUGAUAUUGACUGGUUACGCAGCCACAGGGGUGUGUGCAAGGUAGAUCUCUACAACCCAGAAGGACAGCAAGAUCAGGACCGGAAAGUGAUAUGCUUUGUCGAUGUGUCCACCCUGAAUGUAGAAGAUAAAGAUUACAAGGAUGCUGCUAGUUCCAGCUCAGAAGGCAACUUAAACCUGGGAAGUCUGGAAGAAAAAGAGAUUAUCGUGAUCAAGGACACUGAGAAGAAAGACCAGUCUAAGAGGGAUCUGUAUGCCUUUUCAAACAAGCUCCCUCUGAUCCUGUAAGUGUCCUCAACUGGCUUCUCAGCGAUCUCCAGAAGUAUGCCUUGGGUUUCCAACAUGCACUGAGCCCCUCAACCUCUACCUGUAAACAUAAAGUAGGAGACACAGAGGGCGAAUAUCACAGAGCAUCCUCUGAGAACUGCUACAGUGUCUAUGCCGAUCAAGUGAACAUAGAUUAUUUGAUGAACAGACCUCAAAACCUACGUCUAGAAAUGACAGCAGCUAAAAACACCAACAAUAAUCAAAGUCCUUCAGCUCCUCCAGCCAAACCUCCUAGCACUCAGAGAGCAGUCAUUUCCCCUGAUGGAGAAUGUUCUAUAGAUGACCUUUCCUUCUACGUCAACCGACUAUCUUCUCUGGUAAUCCAGAUGGCCCAUAAGGAAAUCAAGGAGAAGUUGGAAGGUAAAAGCAAAUGCCUUCAUCAUUCAAUCUGUCCAUCCCCUGGGAACAAAGAGAGAAUCAGUCCCCGAACUCCUGCGAGCAAGAUUGCUUCUGAAAUGGCCUAUGAAGCUGUGGAACUGACAGCUGCAGAAAUGCGUGGCACUGGAGAGGAGUCCAGGGAAGGUGGCCAGAAAAGCUUUCUAUAUAGCGAAUUAUCCAACAAGAGCAAAAGUGGAGACAAACAGAUGUCCCAGAGAGAGAGCAAAGAAUUUGCAGAUUCCAUCAGCAAGGGGCUCAUGGUUUAUGCAAAUCAGGUGGCAUCUGACAUGAUGGUCUCUCUCAUGAAGACCUUGAAAGUGCACAGCUCUGGGAAGCCAAUUCCAGCAUCUGUGGUCCUGAAGAGGGUGUUGCUAAGGCACACCAAGGAGAUUGUGUCCGAUUUGAUUGAUUCUUGCAUGAAGAACCUGCAUAAUAUUACUGGGGUCCUGAUGACUGACUCAGACUUUGUCUCAGCUGUCAAGAGAAAUCUGUUCAACCAGUGGAAACAAAAUGCUACAGACAUCACAGAGGCCAUGCUGAAGCGCUUGGUCAGUGCCCUUAUUGGUGAGGAGAAGGAGACUAAGUCUCAGAGUCCGUCAUAUGCAUCUUUAAAAGCUGGGUCCCAUGAUCCCAAAUGCAGGAAUCAGAGUCUUGAAUUCUCCACCAUGAAAGCUGAAAUGAAAGAGAGGGACAAAGGCAAAAUGAAAUUAGACCCAUGCAAGUCACUGACUAGUGCUGAGAAAGUCGGUGAACACAUUCUCAAAGAGGGCCUGACCAUCUGGAACCAAAAGCAAGGAAACUCAUGCAAGGUGGCUACCAAAGCAUGCAGCAAUAAAGAUGAGAAAGGAGAAAAGAUCAAUGCUUCCACAGAUUCACUGGCCAAGGACCUGAUUGUCUCUGCCCUUAAGCUGAUCCAGUACCAUCUGACCCAGCAGACUAAGGGCAAAGAUACAUGUGAAGAAGACUGUCCUGGUUCCACCAUGGGCUAUAUGGCUCAGAGUACUCAAUAUGAAAAGUGUGGAGGUGGCCAAAGUGCCAAAGCACUUUCAGUGAAACAACUAGAAUCUCACAGAGCCCCUGGACCAUCCACCUGUCAAAAGGAGAACCAACACCUGGACUCCCAGAAAAUGGAUAUGUCAAACAUCGUUCUAAUGCUGAUUCAGAAACUGCUUAAUGAGAACCCCUUCAAAUGUGAGGAUCCAUGCGAAGGUGAGAACAAGUGUUCUGAGCCCAGGGCAAGCAAAGCAGCUUCCAUGUCCAACAGAUCUGACAAAGGGGAAGAACAAUGCCAGGAGCAUCAAGAACUUGACUGUACCAGUGGGAUGAAGCAAGUGAACGGGCAAUUUAUAGAUAAACUAGUAGAAUCUGUGAUGAAGCUCUGCCUUAUCAUGGCUAAGUAUAGCAACGAUGGGGCAGCCCUUGCUGAGUUGGAAGAACAAUCAGCCUCGGCAAAUAAGCCCAAUUUCAGGGGCACCAGAUGCAUUCACAGUGGUGCAAUGCCACAGAACUAUCAAGACUCUCUUGGACAUGAAGUAAUUGUCAAUAAUCAGUGCUCUACAAAUAGCUUGCAGAAGCAGCUCCAGGCUGUCCUGCAGUGGAUUGCAGCCUCCCAGUUUAACGUGCCCAUGCUCUACUUCAUGGGAGAUAAGGAUGGACAACUGGAAAAGCUUCCUCAGGUUUCAGCUAAAGCAGCAGAGAAGGGGUACAGUGUAGGAGGUCUUCUUCAAGAGGUCAUGAAGUUUGCCAAGGAACGGCAACCGGAUGAAGCUGUGGGAAAGGUGGCCAGGAAACAGUUGCUGGACUGGCUGCUCGCUAACCUGUGAGCUGAUCCUUGACUCCUCUUCAUCUUAGCCCCCCUAGCAGCAUUCCAUCCCAGCCAGAGCACCCCCACCAUCAGGCCAGUCAACUGCACAAUACACAACUGUAUUUCCCAAUACACUUGAGCAGUUGCCUGUGAAUGUGAGAGGUGUCAACAAACUGGGAAAUAAAAUAAAAAAAAAAUAA